GGAAAAAUAAUAUCAAAGCCGAAGUUGCAUAACCGAGAUAACAAGAAAAAAACA
rnacentral:sRNA from 1 species